ensembl:lncRNA
GGUGUAUUCGUCAACUAAUUGGAGACCUUUUACGAAACUUUGACCCCAACAGGGGUCUGGACGUGCCAGCGACCUGGCCCGUUUCGACAGUAACAGCCACCAGUACCUAGAGAUCAACUCCGAGAUGAACCGCGGCUAUGUGAGGCAGAGGCUGAGGAUGCGCUAUGUCCAUUUCUGGGGCAAUAUUCUCCCCCAACUGUCGCUGCUCAAAUUCUUAUGAAGAAAGACACUGGCGUCUUGAAGCCAUGACUCAAAAUCAUCAAAACCAUCCCGUUCGUAAUUCGUAAUUAAAAAGUUAAUAAAUCAUUGCUAUAUUUUUAUUCAUUUUGUGGCUUAUUUUGAACAUUGUUUCUCGUCUAACACAUAAAUGUACACACAAAGUACGACAGAGUCAUGAUACUUCAACUAUCAUGAACACCCACUACUAUAUUGAUAACUACAGUCAUUUAACUGCUACCUGCUGAAUACAAACCUGGGAACCAGACAAAUCAGAAAGCUCAUGUUUUAUUUGCUCUGGCCAGGGUUUGCUGUAACCCUAGGUUUUCCGUUCCAAAAGGAUCACGGUAUGUUAGUUGCUAUAGAAACAUAUGCUCUGAAUCAAACCUGGUCGGAGCAGGUUUUGCGCAGGUUAAGUUUGAAACAUAACCCGGUUUUGGGUAUUUAAACCCGCGUUCACCGCAGAUUUCAUGUGUUCACAACGGCAUGCCCUUUUGAUGAGAGAACUGCUGAUAUCGGAGCGCAAAUUAUACUUGCAAUCCACCGUGAGCAAUUGAUAAGACCACGCCUCGACAUCUUGGCAUAUCAAAUGACUUUUUGCUGGAGUGGAGAGAUAGGCCUAUAGAUUCUCGCACAAAUCUUUAAUAUAUUUAAAUAGCCUUACAUAGCCAACACUACCAAUCGAGGACCUGGCCUCAGUUCACUCCAGACUAUUUGCGUAGCCCUCCGUUUUUUGCAAAUGGUAGUUUUAUCUAUAGCUAUAAAAUGUUGGAGAUGCUGAGCACAUCUCAGUCCUUUCAGAUGACCCAUCCAAGAUUUGUAUCGGCCUCGAUACAAAGAGCAAUGUUGUCUGAGUACCAUGCCGAGAGGCACUUACAACACAAAGUAUAAAAUAGUCCUAACGGACUUGCAUCCACUGGAGAAUGUUUGAUCGUUAC